CCUACGGGGGGCAGCAGUGGGGAAUAUUGGACAAUGGGGGGAACCCUGAUCCAGCGACGCCGCGUGAGUGAAGAAGUAUUUCGGUAUGUAAAGCUCUAUCAGCAGGGAAGAAAAUGACGGUACCUGACUAAGAAUCCCCGGCUAACUACGUGCCAGCAGCCGCGGUAAUACGUAGGGGGCAAGCGUUAUCCGGAUUUACUGGGUGUAAAGGGAGCGUAGACGGUUAUGUAAGUCUGGAGUGAAAGCCCGGGGCACAACCCCGGGACUGCUUUGGAAACUGUGUAACUGGAGUACAGGAGGGGCAGGCGGAAUUCCUGGUGUAGCGGUGAAAUGCGUAGAUAUCAGGAGGAACACCGGGGGCGAAGGCGGCCUGCUGGACUGAAACUGACGUUGAGGCUCGAAAGCGUGGGGAGCAAACAGGAUUAGAUACCCGAGUAGUC
rnacentral:rRNA from 1 species